AUGCAAAACUUGUUGCUGCUUCUCCCGGCGCUGGGCGAGAGGCAGACACAGAGAGGGGAGCCGAGACCCUCGGAACGCCCCACGCAGAGCCCCCCCGCUAGUCGGGAGAGGGGUGCGCAGACCCCCCAGAGCUGCCCCCGCGCCCCCCUCCCCCCAUUCCAGGCUCUGAGAGCGCAGCGGGAACGCCUCAGCUUGCUCGCCCGGCGUGGCCCCCCGACCCGCGUACGCCCCCCUCCCUCAGGUCCGAGAGGGACUCGCGAAGCACCUCAGCGCGGAGGCAGGGAACCGGAGCCUUGGAGCGACCCAACCCCUCGUCUCGCUGCCCUCCCGCGCCUGCAACGGUGCGCCGAGACUCCAGCGAACUCAGACACCCAACGGCGGAGGACAGAAGCGGCAGGCGGCGGACGUGGCCGCGAAGCUGCGCGCUGGGCGCAGCGCACCCGCUGCCGAGCAGAGGAGCCGCGCCUUUCCCCGACCCUCCGCUCCAACCCCGGCGCCUGCCGCCUCCCAGCCCUCUGCGUCCUCGGCUCGGGGGCCGGCACCCGCGAUGCCGAGCGGAGCCUCCAGUCCUCUGACCCGCUGAAGAAGCAGCAGCGGCUCGCCCGGAGCCUACAGGGAUUGUGCGAGCGGAUCGUGUUCGGUGGAGGCUCGGGCUGCGGGGCGCGGGGACUCCAGGGGGCGGGGGAGGGACCGCUCUGUCGGUGCCCGGCGCUAGCCGCGGCUUUGAAGGGUCUCCCUCCCCUGCCCUUAGCAGCUCUGCCACGGACUCCGGGAGGCUGCGGGCGGCGUCCUGGGGGCUCCCCAACAGACCCAAUCGGACUUGAGAAGACCCACCCGCGGCUGUGACAACCGCCCGGGGCAUGGGCCCCCCAACACGGCUCCUAGAGGCCCCGCGGCCUCGCAAGAUGUGAGAGGCCCUCCCCGGGCAGAAUCGGAGCUUCGGGAGAGGAGCUGAUACCCGCCCCCCGUCCCUCACAUCAGGCGGGGUGGAGGUGCGCGCUGAGCCCCCGCGGUGCUGAGCGUCCCGGAGCGCCCAAUCCUGGGCUGGAACGAGUAGCUGGCCGGAGGCGCGCCGCGGAGAGCAGGCUGUCAUGCCCUAUUGAUCUCCCUCUGCCCCCCGCCAAGUAUGUUUGGGCUGGACCAAUUCGAGCCCCAGAUCAACAGCAGGAACGCUGGCCAGGGCGAGAGGAACUUUAACGAGACCGGACUGAGCAUGAACACCCACUUUAAGGCCCCGACUUUCCACACUGGGGGGCCCCCUGGCCCUGUGGAUCCUGCCAUGAGCGCGCUGGGCGAGCCCCCGAUCUUGGGUAUGAACAUGGAGCCCUACGGCUUCCACACGCGCGGCCACUCGGAGUUGCACGCAGGGGGGCUGCAGGCGCAGCCUGUGCACGGCUUCUUUGGCGGCCAGCAGCCUCACCACGGCCACCCGGGAAGUCACCAUCCCCACCAGCAUCACCCCCACUUUGGGGGCAACUUCGGUGGCCCGGACCCGGGGGCCUCGUGCCUGCACGGGGUCGCCUGCUCGGCUACGGCGGCGCAGCCGGAGGCCUGGGCAGCCAGCCGCCCUUCGCCGAGGGUUAUGAGCACAUGGCAGAGAGCCAGGGGCCUGAGAGCUUCGGCCCGCAGCGACCGGGGAACCUCCCGGACUUCCACAGUUCGGGUGCCUCCGGCCACGCCGUGCCGGCCCCAUGCCUGCCGCUGGACCAGAGCCCUAACCGAGCCGCCUCCUUCCACGGCCUGCCCUCCUCCAGCAGCUCCGAUUCCCACAGUCUGGAGCCCCGGAGGGUGACGAACCAAGGAGCCGUCGACUCGCUGGAAUACAAUUACCCGGGCGAGGGGCCCUCGGGACAUUUUGACAUGUUUUCGCCCUCUGACUCCGAAGGGCAGCUGCCUCAUUAUGCAGCUGGUCGCCAGGUUCCCGGGGGCGCUUUCCCGGGCGCCUCGGCCAUGCCCAGGGCUGCGGGCAUGGUGGGCUUGUCCAAAAUGCACGCCCAGCCACCGCAGCAGCAGCCGCAGCAGCAGCAGCAGCAACCCCAGCAGCAGCAGCAGCAGCAGCAGCAUGGUGUGUUCUUUGAGAGGUUCGGUGGGGCCAGAAAGAUGCCUGUGGGUCUGGAGCCCUCAGUGGGCUCCAGGCACCCGUUAAUGCAGCCUCCCCAGCAGGCCCCGCCACCCCUCAGCAGCAGCCCCGCAGCAACCGCCACAGCAGCAGCCGCCGCCGCCACCCGGGCUUCUAGUCCGACAAAAUUCGUGCCCGCCUCUCCCCUCGGCCCCAGCAGGGCGAGGGCGGGCACGCCAGCGGCG
ensembl:lncRNA